rnacentral:rRNA from 1 species
UGGGGAAUAUUGCACAAUGGGCGAAAGCCUGAUGCAGCGACGCCGCGUGAGGGAUGACGGCCUUCGGGUUGUAAACCUCUUUCAGCAGGGAAGAAGCGAAAGUGACGGUACCUGCAGAAGAAGCGCCGGCUAACUACGUGCCAGCAGCCGCGGUAAUACGUAGGGCGCAAGCGUUGUCCGGAAUUAUUGGGCGUAAAGAGCUCGUAGGCGGUUAGUCGCGUCUGCUGUGAAAACUCGAGGCUCAACCUCGGGCUUGCAGUGGGUACGGGCUGACUAGAGUGCGGUAGGGGUGACUGGAAUUCCUGGUGUAGCGGUGGAAUGCGCAGAUAUCAGGAGGAACACCGAUGGCGAAGGCAGGUCACUGGGCCGCAACUGACGCUGAGGAGCGAAAGCAUGGGGAGCGAACAGGAUUAGAUACCCUGGUAGUCCAUGCCGU